CCGGUGUGGAUAUGCACUCAGAGUAACAUCGCAAACAUAUUAUUCACCUGAGUACACAACACCAACACAGAAAAAUUCAUAUUACUAGAACACAUUGGUAUUGAAGGAACCAGAUACUGUUCCGAAAUAUCACUUACUCGAACCGUCCUGACCGCGUAGCUCAGUUGGAAGAGCAUUGGGCUAGUAUCCAAAGGUCGUAGGUUCGAAUCCCACCGUUGCCGGGCAUAUUUUUCAAGCUCGCCCGGUGUGGAUAUGCACUCAGAGUAACAUCGCAAACAUAUUAUUCACCUGAGUACACAACACCAACACAGAAAAAAAAUUUAAUUAUAUUUAAUCAUAAUCCCUGGCGCGCCUGUUGAAGAGGGAGGAAAUUUAGAGCACUUGAAACUACGUAACAGCUGCGCCAAGAUCAAGGUCGAUCUCUUGGUAUUAAACCAAGAUAACUUAGAUAUUUUGCAAGUCUCCAAUAUCAGUGGUCAAGUGAAGAACUCAGAAUUUACCCACCUCCUCCCGCAGGCCUGCCAGCAAUAUCAUAAGCAUUUAUUUUUUAUCUGAUUGUAUAUAAUUAUAUAUAUGAACUUUUUAAUGCGUAUAUUCCUGCCACCUUUACUGGCUAUAGAACACUUAUAUAAUCAAUCUAGACAUCAGUAUUAUUUUGAUGUCAGAGAAUAUGUUAUUUCAUUAAAUAUUUUCAAUAAAGCGGCUAUGAACUAUAUUCAUAGCCAAAAUUUUUCCCAUAAAAGUGUCGUCUAAAAUUUUGUGCCUGCAUGCCAGUAAACCAAGCUCGGUUAAUGCAACGCUGUUUGAUCCUUAUAAACUCGAAGGGGAAGGUGGAGACAUAAAUAUAUAUAU